CAGAGGUUCAAAAGUUUGAGCCAGUCAGACGUGUUGCACUCGUGCAGGCCGACUUCUGCAAACAUCGACGAGGCAAGUCAUUACACCACAGAGCUGAGCCAUGGGCUUUGCUUUAGCAGAAAGUUUGGGUACCACUGGUGUAGCAGCACAUCCUCAAAUUCCCAAGGAAAAGAUAGAAAUUAGCGGUUAAUGUAGGGAGAGAAAGGGCUGGCACCAUACGAGAAGUUUCUGAAAGUCAUGAUAUCUGCACCAUCUUUUGUCUUCAUACAAAACAUUUUUGUUUUUCUCCUGUGAUAGUGGAUUGAUAGUCCAGGGCAGAAUUCGUACACAAAAUAGCAGCAACUCUUUUUAUGGUUAAAGCCCGGAUAGAAUAGUUCUCCAACAGCUUAUUGGGGGACGUAGUUGGCUUCAGAACGUGGGUCGUUCUCUUCUGAGAAAAACUCAGAAAAAGAAAUGCCAGAAAUCAUCAAAGAAGAAGGAUUUGUACCUGCAAACAACAGCAUGUUCAAAUACACUUCAGAAGCAUAAGGAACUUUGCACUGAAGGAUGCAAUGCAAAGAGAAAAGGAAAGGAGUGCUCAGAACCAGGCUCCGUACAGAAGAGCCUCCUGGGACAUAAAGGGUCGUACACCAAAUGCUUUUUGUUCUGUUUUGUGUUUUUGGAAUAAUUGCUCAAAGCUAGAGAGGCUCUGAGUGCUGUUUUGCUAUGCCUGGAAAAACUGCAGUGUUUUUGGGCAGAGGUGUUUCCUGGCACGGUGCAAUGACUGCUCUGUAGAGCUUUCACAGCUGUUGGUUUUACAUCUCCCAGUUUUGCUUCGCUGACAUUUUUUCAUUUUUCUUUGCAUUAAAAAGUAGUCUGUUCCUGUAAAGAAGUGCCUGAGCAUUAUGUGUAAUGACAGGAGUAACAAUUUCCGAAGUGCUCAGAGGACUAAUGCCCAGGCGGUGUCAGCUUGCGUAUUGCUGUUAGAUGGUAUCAGUCUGAGGCUACAUGGUGUGCCUACUUUUAAUCUGACAUAAUCUAUGUCCCACAGUGAUUUAUAUGUAAAAAUUAAGUAAUAAUUAU
rnacentral:lncRNA from 1 species